GUACACUCCUGCGGGAGGCAGCAGUGGGGAAUUUUGAACAAUGGGCGAAAGCCUGAUCCAGCAAUGCCGCGUGUGUGAAGAAGGCCUUCGGGUUGUAAAGCACUUUUGUCCGGAAAGAAAUCCUUGGCUCUAAUACAGUCGGGGGAUGACGGUACCGGAAGAAUAAGCACCGGCUAACUACGUGCCAGCAGCCGCGGUAAUACGUAGGGUGCGAGCGUUAAUCGGAAUUACUGGGCGUAAAGCGUGCGCAGGCGGUUUGCUAAGACCGAUGUGAAAUCCCCGGGCUCAACCUGGGAACUGCAUUGGUGACUGGCAGGCUAGAGUAUGGCAGAGGGGGGUAGAAUUCCACGUGUAGCAGUGAAAUGCGUAGAGAUGUGGAGGAAUACCGAUGGCGAAGGCAGCCCCCUGGGCCAAUACUGACGCUCAUGCACGAAAGCGUGGGGAGCAAACAGGAUUAGAUACCCGUGUAGUCC
rnacentral:rRNA from 1 species